UGUAGAAAAGAGAGAGCCGUUAUGCAGAAGAGAAGUUGUGUAUUCUUUCGGUGUACACAUGCAUUUUCAAUUUACUGUGAAACAUAUGAACAUGCACAGGGAACAAUACUACAUAUUUGUUUAAGGAGGAUAUUUUUCUCGUGUGAAUCGUUUACGAGGAAAUUCUGACAGCCACACUUCUGUCGACGAUCAGCCGUUGAUAAGCUACGAGUAAUAUAAAAGGAGAAAAGAUGGACAUUAAAGUGUGUGAUUUAUGUGGAUGUUACUGAAGAAGCUCAAAACAGACUCUUGUUACCACAUGGCUUUUACCGGUACCUGUUGAUUCUUGUGGGUCAGCUCCUGAGAUUAACCUGUCACCUCUAUUCACAUGCAUAUUCCUUGUGUUCUACAGACUAUUUACCG